GUAAUGGAUUGUGUUUCUUGGCUUGGUUUUCGAACUGUUGACGAUCGGACACCACUCAAUGCGUCUGGUAUACCAGGAGCUACAGUGACAGGGUCGUCCAUACCUUGAGGAAAUGUCCAGUCAACAGAGAUGUUGUCUUGGCUUCAACAAGAACGGCGAGAGACCGCUCUCGAUAUAGCGAAGAAAAUGGAGAUACCUACGACAGUAAAUAACGUUGUGUGAAUGUGUCAUUUGUUUUUAAUUUAUUGUAAAGCCAGUCGUUUGUCUGAGCGCAAACUAACUUCUUGCGUUAUUUAUCCCUAUUUCGUCUAUCCAUUCGUUGAGAAUGGUUUUGCUACACGUCAAAUUACAGGGCAAAAUAUAAUCCUCAAUUUCAAAAAGAGCCAUGCACCAAUGACAUUUUUCAUGGCAAGUUUUAUAUGCUCUUGGAUGCAGCAAAAUAUUGACAAGUUAAACGCUAAAGGGGCGGAUUCAAAAGCUGUUCAUGAUACAAUUACUCGUAUUUACAGCCGACCUGGAAAAACAUACUGCCGUACCUACGACAGAAUAUUACCAGGACAAGACACUUGUAUCAUUGUGUAUGUCAAGAAACCAACCUAUACGCUUCCAAUUCUAUUUUUUCGCUUUCAAAUCCAAGUGUUUAGUCGACAGCAUUUUAAAAUAAAACGUCACUAUGAUAACUGCAGUAAAGCUUCGUCAUGGAGGCACCUUGAAUGGCUUUAAUGGUGAUAUGAUUUUUACAAUAUCAUGGUUACAAGAUCUCGCAUUUUAGGUUGAUUAAAUACUACUACCAUUAAAUUAUGCUCUUUAGGCAAACCUUGCAGGAUUUGGAAAAAUCAUUACUUUUUCUGAGGAAGAUUUUGAUAAAGCCUUCGGUGAUCUGGAAUGGUGGCUGAGGACUGGGACUGGGGCUAGUUGUCAAAUGAAAAUCCAUUUUUCGGUUGAAACAACUUGAAAUAUACUUUAUUACGGUUUCAAAUUUAUGUCAGAGCUAUAGUUCUUAUAAAUUAACAUGCAUAAUCACAAAAUUUCUUGUAGUCAGUUCAUAUUAAAUUUGUAAAGAAUAACAUAAGAU